UUCAGUUGUAAGAGUUUUGCUUUUGAAGGGUUUGAUCAAAGGAGACGUCUAUUUAUCCUCAGUGUUGCUACCUUCUGAAAAGCUCUUCUUGGAAAGGUUUGUGAUCAAUUAUCAAGCAGAUGUGCCUCAAUUGUUGGAUAUCUAUCAAAGAAAAAUGAGUCUUAUAGAACUUGGGUGUGGCUUUGAUGAUAAAUUGAAGAUUUCUGGGUUAAAAAUGGUCUAGCCUGCAGUAUGUCAAUCUUAAAACCAUUAAUUCCAAUUUGAUGUUGCUUUCUGGUGAUUCCCUUAAUUUCUUUGGUGCAUCGGUAAAUCUUUGAUGAGUCACUUUGAUAACUAACUUUUACUUCUCAUUAGACUAUUGUUUUUUUCCAGCUUCAAGCUGGUCAAGAUUUGAUCGUGCAUGUCAUUAAAAAAAAAAUAUAUCUAUCUUGCCAUAACUUGAGGUAAAGUGUGCAUUUGAUUGCUUGUAUCUUGUCAACCAAAAUGUUUAUAUUUUUUUGAGUGUUGAAUGCUUUAUAAAUGUGUAAAGAGGAUUAAUGAAUUGGGAUAAUCUCUAAAAAUGAAGAGAAUAAUCUCAAAUUUGUUGGCAGUUAGUACUCUUAUUUAUUAUAGUCAAGUACUUGAAUUAAAUUGGCGACUUGAGAUAGCAGCUUCACUGCACUGGAAUUCUUCCAUGAAAGAACUAAAGUGUGGGAAACUUCCUGUUAUAUUUUGUAUUGUUAAGGUCAAAGGAUCUACAGGUGCAUUUGUAACUGGGUGGUGAAAACAGGAUGCUCGGAAGAAUGAUAAUUCUUCUACAUUGGAUGAGGCAACAUCAUCGAUUUAACAGUGGUUCUGCAGACCAUAAUUUUUCAUUUGAUUUUUUGAUUCAAGCUAAAUUCUUGAUUUGAAUAAAAAAUUAAGAAGUUUAAUUUCUAAAUUUUGGAAUUAAAUUUCUUGAU
rnacentral:misc_RNA from 1 species